GCCUGUAAUCCCAGCACUUUGGGAGGCUGAGGCGGGCGGAUCGCCUGAGGUCAGGAGUUUGAGACCAGCCUGACCAAUAUGGCGAAGCCCCCGUCUCUAGUAAAGAUACAAAAA